rnacentral:rRNA from 1 species
CAUUACAGAGAAAUUGCCCUUCGGGGUAGCAUCUCCCACCCUUUGUUUAUAUUACCUUUGUUGCUUUGGCAGGCCCGUCUUUUGACCACCGGCUUAGGCUGGUCCGCGCCUGCCAGAGGAUCCCAAACUCUUGAAUUUUGUGUUGUCUGAGGAAUAUCAAAAAACAAGUUUAAAACUUUCAACAACGGAUCUCUUGGUUCUGGCAUCGAUGAAGAACGCAGCGAAAUGCGAUAAGUAAUGUGAAUUGCAGAAUUCAGUGAAUCAUCGAAUCUUUGAACGCACAUUGCACCCUCUGGUAUUCCGGGGGGUAUGCCUGUUCGAGCGUCAUUUCAACCCUCAAGCUGAGCUUGGUAUUGGGCGUCACCUGACGACAGUUUGGUGCACCUUAAAAUCAGUGGCGGUGCCGUCUGGCUUCAAGCGUAGUAAAACCCUCGCUCUGGAGGUUUGGAUGCAUGCUUGCCAUCAACCACUAAUUUAUCAAAGGUUGACCUCGGAUCAGGUAGGGAUACCC